GUGGGGAAUAUUGGACAAUGGGCGCAAGCCUGAUCCAGCCAUGCCGCGUGAGUGAUGAAGGCCUUAGGGUUGUAAAGCUCUUUCGUCAGGGAAGAUAAUGACGGUACCUGAAGAAGAAGCCCCGGCUAACUUCGUGCCAGCAGCCGCGGUAAUACGAAGGGGGCUAGCGUUGCUCGGAAUCACUGGGCGUAAAGCGCACGUAGGCGGCUUUCUAAGUCAGGGGUGAAUUCCUGGAGCUCAACUCCAGAACUGCCUUUGAUACUGGAGAGCUUGAGUUCGGGAGAGGUGAGUGGAACUGCGAGUGUAGAGGUGAAAUUCGUAGAUAUUCGCAAGAACACCAGUGGCGAAGGCGGCUCACUGGCCCGAUACUGACGCUGAGGUGCGAAAGCGUGGGGAGCAAACAGGAUUAGAAACCCUGGUAGUCC
rnacentral:rRNA from 1 species